GCCAGAGCCAGGGCCCUGCUGAACAGCCCCAGGGGAGUCCAGGGCCGAAGCUUGUGCUACAUCAGCAACAAAGUAUUUGGUCUUGCUUGAAUCUACUUGAGAAGUGGCACUUUUUCUUCUCCAUUUUCCCACCUUAUCAAAUCUCCAAAGGCAUCCCAAAUUCACCCAUGGCUUACUGUCCACCCAGGGACCAACAGACUUACGGAAGCUGUAAAUAGCACAGGACCCCUGGGCAGAGCCUUCCUGCUCCUACAGGAGGUCUCCAACCUCACUGCGGAGGGGAAGAGAGGGGCUGAGGGAAGCAUCUG
rnacentral:lncRNA from 13 species